rnacentral:tRNA from 1 species
AAGCAAGUGGCGGAAUUGGUUAGACGCUGAAUUCUGCGAUAGAUUGUUUCGAUUAAACUCGCAGACUAAAAAUGAAACACAUUUGCGGGUUCGAUUCCCGCCUUGCUUU